rnacentral:lncRNA from 1 species
GCAAAACCUGAACUUCUUUAGCCAAAGGAUGAAGAGGAGGGGUAUCUGAGAUGGAACUAUGAGAAGAUCCCCUAAAGUCCCUCUGACACCCUGGGUUCCCUGAGCUGCAUGCAUGUGCCUGGACCUGCGCCAAGGAAGUAGGAGCUGUUAUUACCUGAACUGCUACAUAACUGACUCCUGGUUCACGCAGGUGCAGACCCAAGUGGGACCGCCUGGGCCUGAAAACCAGUGGGCACCAGAGCCAAAGCCCACCCCGGGCAGAUGAGCACGUCUGAACAUAGAUGGAUUGCUUGCUCCAAGAAAAAUAAAAUCAAUAUUGUCUACAGGAUUUUAAUAAGAUUCAGAGUAGCUCAGUCAAAAUGUCCACAAUACAAUCCAAAAUUACUCACCAUAUGGAGAGCCAGGAAAAUCUUUUAAGGGGAAAAGAAAGUUAACAUAUGUCAACUUAAAUGUGUUGGAAUACUCAGAGCUUUUAUAUAAAUAUCUUUUAUUGUAACCAUACUCCACGAAAGAAGGGUACAUGCUCUUGAAAUAAGUCAUAAACUUUAAAGUGAAAAAUACAGUGGAUAAAAACAUUUGGAAGCAAACGAACUCUUUGGGACUUGUAGGAAAAUAUAAAAUCUAAGGUGUAUGGUAAUUGGAUUCCCAGCAAAAGGAGACAGACAUUGGUGUAAAAAAAUCUUUUUACAAAAUGGUUGAAAAUAUUCCAUAUUUGACAGAAGACAAAUAUAAGAUUCACAAAGCUCAGUAAACCCCAAAAAGUUAAACUCCAGGAAAACCAUGUUAAAAAUACCAGUGACUAGUGAAACUUAAGAUUUAGUCUUGAGGGAUGCCCAGGGGGCUCAUUGAUUGAGCAUCUGCCUUCAGCCCAGGGUGUGACCCCGGGGUCCUGGGAUCGAGUCCCGCGUCGGGCUCCCCACAGGGAGCCUGCUCCCCCACUCUGGGUCUCUGCCUCUCUCUGUGUCUCUCAGGAAUAAAUAAAAUCAUAAAAAAAAAAACUUUGAAUAUUGUAAUAACUAACACAAAGCUAAAAGGUAAAUUAGGGAUCCCUGGGUGGCGCAGCGGUUUGGCGCCUGCCUUUGGCCCAGGGCACGAUCCUGGAGACCCAGGAUCGAAUCCCACGUCGGGCUCCCGGUGCAUGGAGCCUGCUUCUCCUCUGCCUGUGUCUCUGCCUCUCUCUCUCUCUCUUCUCUCUCUCUCUCUCUCUGUGACUAUCAUAAAUAAAUAAAAAUUUUUUAAAAAUGUAAAUUAAAAUGGAAUGCUAAAAAUAUUUCAAAUACAAAAGGAAGCAGGGAACAUAAAACAAGGGAAAACCAUGAACUAAGCAAACAAUAACGAAAUCAUCAACAGUUACGUUCAAUAUAAAAAGUCUCGACAUAAAAAAGCUUGUCAGAAGUUCAAACAGUCCCGUUUUCAAAUGCAUCAGAGAGCAGACUACGUGGGCACCUGCGUAGCUCACUCACCUGCCUUCGGCUUAGGUCGUGACUGCAGGCUCCUGGGCUCAAGUCCCACAUGGGGCCCCCCAGCAGGGACCCUCCUGCCCUCCCACUCGUGCUCUGGCAAAUAAAAAUCGUUAAAACAAAAAACCACCCACCUAGGACUAAAAUGUAACCAAGGAGGUAAAAGACCUGUACUCUGGAAACUAAAACAUUGAUGGAGAAGAUUAAGGAUAAAUUAAGUCGAAAGACAUUCCAUGGUCGUAGAUUGGAAGAACCAAUGUUGUGGAAAUGUUUAUACUGCUGCCCAAAGCCUUCUACAGAUUUAUUGCGGUCCCUAUCAAAACACAAACAGCAUUUUUCACAGAACCAGAACAAAAUCCUAAAAUUUGUACUACGAGAGACCAUAAUAGCCAAAGCAACCUCAAGAAAAAACGAAGCUGGAGGUAUCACAAUCCCAGAUCUCAAGAUCUUCUAUAAAGCUAUAAUAAAAUAGUAUGGAACUGGCACAAAAAGAGACACAGAGAUCAAUGGAACAGAACAGAGAGCCCAGAAAUAAACCCAGUUAAUCCAUGACAAAGGCAAAAAUACACAGCGGGGAAAGGACAAAUGGUGCUGGGAAAACUGGACCACUUUCUUGUACCAUCCACAGAAAUAAACUCAAAAUAGAUUUAAGACCUAAAUGUGAAAUCCUAAAACUCCUAGAAGAAUAAAAGCAGUAAUAUCUUGGAUGUCAGCCACAGCAACAUAUUUAUGAGUAUGUCUCCUCAGACCAGAAAAACUAAACUCUUGGGACCACACCCAAAGGAAAGCUCCGCAAAGGAAACCAUCAACAGAACAAAAAGGAACCUACGACCCCAAAGAGCUCAUUUGCAAAUGAUUUAUCUGAUAGAGUAGCAUCCAAAACAAAGAACUUACACAACCUAACACCAAAAAAUAACCCGAUUAAACUAUGGCCCGAGAACCCAAAUAGACAUUUCUCCAAAGAGGACCUACAGAUAGAUGGCCAGAGGCGGCCGGCGGAUGGCCAACGUACAGGACUUCUUUGCCUUUAGCGCCCGCAGUUCUUGGUCGCGCUGCGUGGAAAAAUGAAGAGUCGUGGGCAGCAGUGGUUACUGAGCGAUAGUACAGAGCUCCACGGAGGGCUCGGAGAGCACGCCCACCAGAGUUUCUGAGCCGGUUGUUUUUUUUAAUUUUACUUAUUUAUUCCUAAGAGACAGAGAGAGAGACAGAGGAAGAGAUGGGGGUGGGCAGAGACCCAGGCAGAGGGAGAAGCAGGCUCCCUGCGGGGAACCCGAGGCAGGACCCGAUCCCCCCGGACUCAAGGAUCACGUCCUGGCCGAAGGCAGCUAGACCGCUGAGUGCUGAGCCUCCAGGGCGUCCCUGAGUCUGGGAGUUUUUUAUCUGAUUAACCCUUCGUGGCCUGUAACCCAGUCAGGUUUUUGUCCAUUCAUGGGGGAAAGGGUAGAGGGCUCCUUCCGGGGGGCGGGGGCGGUGUGCAGUCCUUUCCACAGCGCUUUCCUUCCAAACACUGCUCCUCAUCACCAGUCAUCAGGGGAGUGCAAGUCAGAACUCCGACGGAGAUGGCCUCACACCUGUCAGAAUGGCUAUUAUCAAAGACAAGGACUGACCAGUGCUGGUGAGGACGUGGAAAACAGGGAACUUUCUGCACUGUUGCUGGGAGUGUGAAGUGGUGCAACCGCUGUGGAAAACAGUAUGGAGGUUCCUCAAAAAAUUAAAAAUAGAACUACCCUGUGGCCCAGUAAUUCCACUAAUGGGUAUUUACCCAAAGAAAAUAAAAAUACUGACUUGAAAAGGUACACACACCCUUAGUUUACUGCGGCACUAUUACAGCAGCCAAGUGUCCAUGGAUCAAUGCAUGGAUGAAGAUGGGGGGGGGUGCACACCCCCACACGCACUGCAGGUACUACCCAGCCAUGAAAAGGGAUGAGAUCUUGCCAUUUGCGACACGGAUGGGCCUGGAUGGUGUCCUAUCAAAUGAAGUAAGACAGACCUACCAUGUGACCUCACUCAUACGUGGAAUCUAAAAACGAAAACAAAUGAACAAAGCAGAAACAGACCCAUAAAUACAGAGAACUGGUGGCUGCCAGAGGGUUGGGGCCAGGGAAGGGGAUGAAGAGAUACAAACUUCCAGGUAGGACGUCAGGCACGAGGGUGACAGAGCACAGGGGACGUCGGGGACAGCGGGGCCUAUGCUUGCGGUGUGGAGCUCCAGGUGACAUGCAGAACUGCCGAUCGCUGUGCUGUUCGCCUGAACGACCAGACGUCGUGUAUCCGCUAUACUUCAAAACUAAAUUUUUCAAAUAAAAAAGAGAUUGUCAGACUGGAUCAAAAAAUAAGGCCCAACUUACUGAAGUGAUGAGGACAGGUGAAAAGUAAAAGGCCGGGAAAGACAUAUCGUGCAAACAUCAAAAAAACAACAGGAGCGGCUGUGCUGACGUCGAAGGUCGCAGAGCUCCCCACGGGGAGUUACCGGGAGGGAAUGAGGACGUCCCAUAGGGCCUAUGCCCCUCCUCGCAGGGACGUGAAGGAAGCCAGGGCCCCGGUUUUACUUUCUGAGAGUAAGGCACUUGGAAGUGGCCCUGGGUCCCGCCGAGUCCCCGCCGAGCUCCACAAGAGCGAGCGCCUUCCUUGGGUGCGCGGGCGGUGAGGCCCGGGCAGGAAGCACCUCGGGGACCCGGCGGCAGGCGGGAAACUGCACCUGGGGCUUCAAAACUGACCUCUGGGGCUCCACCAAGGGAGCCGGAAAGACGACAGCUGUUCCGGACUCCCCCAGGAACCCCCUCGGGACACCGGCGGGAGGCCUGAGCUGAGCCCGCGUGCAGCCCUUCCUCACGCACAGCGGCUCUGCGGGCCGGAAGACGCCACCAGUCGUAACUCAAGGGAAAAACACAAUCUGGAGAGAGCCUCCGACCCAGCAGGGCAGGGAUGGCCUGACCAGGCCACGGAGGUAUAGCAACCGUGAUGACCGAGUGGGGCACCGACGGCACAUGGGCGACGUACGGACACACGGAAUCCUAACAACUUAAAAGGAAGGUUGGGGGUUAAAAACACAACACUAACCAAAACGAGGGUCUCCGAUGGGCUUAGCACGCUGGGCAUAGGGAAGCCGGCUCUGCGCUUCAGGAAACGUCAACAGGAACCUCCAAAGUGAAAUGAGAACAAGGGUGGAAAUACGUCAAGCAGAGCAGAAUCCGGGCUGCGGGGCGGGCCGCGCCCAUGGGCUUACAGGGGCAGCAGGGGGAAACCGGGCUCUUCAGGGAUGCAGGUGAUGUUUGAAGCAACGCUGAUGGAUAAUUUCCCCCAAAUCCGUGUCAGACAUGAAACCACAGGUCCAGGAGUUCAGGGAACAAGAUUAAUGCCCCAAAAACACUAUUACUAAGCAGAUCAUCCCUUAAAAAUAUCUUAUUUAUCUGAGACAGAGCGAGAGUGAGCAAGCAUGAGCAGGGGGAGGGGCAGAGGGAGAAGCAGACUCUCGCUGAGCAGGGAGCCCAAUGUGGGGCUUGAUCACGGGACAUAACCUGAGCCACCCAGGCGCCCCCAGGAUUAUCAUUUUCAAAGUAGGAGGGCAACAGAGAAAACAGCAACGACUGUGGUGGCCAGUAGUCCAACUAUACCAGUAAUCACUUUUAACAUCGGUGGUUUAAAUGCACGAAGUAUGGGAUCCCUGGGUGGCUCAGCGGUUUGGUGCCUGCCUUUGGCCCAGGGCGCGAUCCUGGAGACCCGGGAUCCAGUCCCACGUCAGGCUCCCGGUGCAUGGAGCCUGCUUCUCCCUCUGCCUGUGUCUCUGCCUCUCUCUCUCUCUGU